rnacentral:rRNA from 1 species
GAUGAACGCUGGCGGCGUGCCUAAUACAUGCAAGUCGGACGCAGUUGCGAACGGGAGAGUAACGCGUAGGCAACUACCUAUUAGAGGGGGAUAACUACUGGAAACGAUAGCGAAUACCGUUUACUAGUAGAUGGAUCUGUGUUGUAUUAGCUAGUAGGUAGGGUAAUGGGCUACCUAGGCAACGAUACAUAGCCGACCUGGAGAGGUGGUCGGCCAAACUGGGAAUGGAGAAAGGGCCAGGAUCCUACGGGGAGGAAGAAGUGGGGAACUUCGGCAAUGGGGGGAACGCUGACCGAGCCACUGCGCGGGGAUGGAGGAAGUUUUCGGAUCGUAAAACUCUGUUGUGAAGGGAGCGGUACUUAACCAGAAAGGAACGGCUAACUACGUGCCAGCAGCCGCGGUAAUAC